rnacentral:sRNA from 1 species
AUUUAUUAAUCAUGAUCAUGAUUGGUUGAUUGAUCAUGAUCAUGAUUGGUUGAUUGAUCAUGAUCAUGAUUGGUUGAUUGAUCAUGAUCAUGAUUG